UACGAAGGGGACUAGCGUUGUUCGGAAUCACUGGGCGUAAAGCGCACGUAGGCGGAUUCGUAAGUUAGGGGUGAAAUCCCGGGGCUCAACCUCGGAACUGCCUUUGAUACUGCGGGUCUCGAGUCCGAUAGAGGUGGGUGGAACUGCGAGUGUAGAGGUGAAAUUCGUAGAUAUUCGCAAGAACACCAGUGGCGAAGGCGGCCAACUGGUCCGGUACUGACGCUGAGGUGCGAAAGCGUGGGGAGCAAACAGG
rnacentral:rRNA from 1 species